AUUGAACGCUAGCGGGAUGCUUUACACAUGCAAGUCGAACGAGUGGCGGACGGGUGAGUAAUAUAUCGGAACGUGCCCAGUAGCGGGGGAUAACUACUCGAAAGAGUGGCUAAUACCGCAUACAAUGGGAGCGGCCGAUAUCGGAUUAGCUAGUUGGUGGGGUAAAGGCUCACCAAGGCAACGAUCCGUAGAUGGUUUUAGCGGACGACCAGCCAAACUGGAACUGAGACACGGCCCAGACUCCUACGGUAGGCAGCAGUGGGGAAUUUUGGACAAUGGGGGAAACCCUGAUCCAGCCAUCCCGCGUGUAUGAGAAGGCCGUCGGGUUGUAAAGUACUUUUGGCUGGGAAGCGGUAUCUGCAGAAUAAGCACCGGCUAACUACGUGCCAGCAGCCGCGGUAAUUC
rnacentral:rRNA from 1 species